rnacentral:rRNA from 1 species
GACGAACGCUGGCGGCGUGCUUAACACAUGCAAGUCGAACGGAAAGGCCCUGCUUUUGUGGGGUGCUCGAGUGGCGAACGGGUGAGUAACACGUGAGUAACCUGCCCUUGACUUUGGGAUAACUUCAGGAAACUGGGGCUAAUACCGGAUAGGAGCUCCUGCUGCAUGGUGGGGGUUGGAAAGUUUCGGCGGUUGGGGAUGGACUCGCGGCUUAUCAGCUUGUUGGUGGGGUAGUGGCUUACCAAGGCUUUGACGGGUAGCCGGCCUGAGAGGGUGACCGGCAGCCUGGUACGGGGUCUCCCCCCGCGACCCCUCGGGGGGCGGGAGGGGGGCAUUUUGGCACACGGCCGGGCGCUCUUGCACAGCCCCCCCGGGUGCGGGAUGGCGGCUGCCGUUUUGGACACCUUUCCCCCUUGGGACGAGGGUUGGGUAGCGGUAGGGGGAAAAGAAGCCCCGGCAAUCUCCGC